rnacentral:rRNA from 1 species
AGAGUUUGAUCCUGGCUCAGGACGAACGCUGGCGGCGUGUUUUAAGCAUGCAAGUCGGACGGCAAGGCGGGUAGCAAUACCAGCCCUAGAGUGGCGAACGGGUGAGUAACACGUAGGCGAUCUACCUCUGGGUGGGGGAUAGCCCGUGGAAACACGGGGUAAUACCGCAUGAGGCCUUGUGGGUAAAGCCAUGAGGUGAAAGGUGCAAUUGCACCGUCUGGGGAUGAGCCUGCGGUCCAUUAGGUAGUUGGCGGGGUAAUGGCCCAUCAAGCCGACGAUGGAUAGCCGGCCUGAGAGGGUGUACGGCCACACUGGAACUGAGACACGGUCCAGACUCCUACGGGAGGCAGCAGCUAAGAAUCUUCCGCAAUGGGGGAAACCCUGACGGAGCGACGCCGCGUGGAUGAUGAAGGCCGUAAGGUUGUAAAAUCCUUUUGUCGGUGAAGAAUAACACGAGGAGUGGAAAGCCUUGUGGAUGACGUUAGCCGACGAAUAAGCCCCGGCUAAUUACGUGCCAGCAGCCGCGGUAAUACGUAUGGGGCAAGCGUUGUUCGGAUUUAUUGGGCGUAAAGGGCGUGUAGGCGGCUCAUCAAGUCUGGUGUGAAAUCUUCAGGCUCAACCUGAGAUAUGCGCUGGAAACUGGUGGGCUUGAGUUCUUGAGGGGAAGCUGGAAUUCCAGGUGUAGGGGUGAAAUCUGUAGAUAUCUGGAAGAACACCGGUGGCGAAGGCGAGCUUCUAUCAGAGGACUGACGCUGAGGCGCGAAAGCGUGGGGAGCAAACAGGAUUAGAUACCCUGGUAGUCCACGCUGUAAACGAUGUGCACUAGGCGU